GAUCGGAUGGUCUAUCUUAAAAUAAAUCAAUAUUGAUAUUUUAUAUAGAGCGUUAAAGUUUUGCGAAGCCAGGGGGCGGGGUUACUUGACUGACAGUCUGGUCUGGAAUGAUUGACAGGUCCUAUGGAGGAGGCAGCAGAGACUCUGCUCUCCUCGUUUGGAUUAAUUCUGAUAUAAUAACUGUUUGUUUAUUUAUCGGUGAAGCAGCAGAACAUUUUCCACAGACAGUUUUCCUGACCGUUGGCUUGUUUUAACCAGUUUUCUACCUUCGGCUGAUUCUACCAGCAGACACUGAAAGGACUCUGAUAGUUCGUGCUUGGACAACUAUAUAUGACAGAGGAAAUCUUUCCAGGGAUACUUUAAAAUGAACCUCUGCUGUUGAUGCUGAUACUGUGACGACUGUCUUCAUCUCAGGUGUCUCAUUUUCACUGUGAGAAUCUUCUGAGUGAAGCCAGCAGAAGGAAAACCUCAUCUAGUUGUGAAGAAGGAGGCUGAUAGGACGACAUCCUCAGUGAGCCACUGAGCUUUCACUUACACAAGGACAGACCAACUCUCAGCAGUUUAUUAUUCUCUGUUUUAAUUAUUCAGGUGUUCCAUUUAUCACCUUUAACUUCAUCUCUGCUGUUGGAGCAGAAAUAGAAUCUAAAAAGUCCAUGUUAUUUAUAGCAGAUAUGCAGCAUUAUCUCUUUAUUAUACAGUCUAUGGUCUGACCCAUACAUAGAUAUUAAUAUCUAUGGCAGCUGCAGCUCCCAGUGAACAGGAGGAUUUUAUUAGAGGAAGUCAGACACAGUCACACAGAGAAACAUUAGACCUCACACUGAAACGGAGCUACAGCUCUGGGUCUUGUAGAAGAUGUAUUUUCAAAACUACAUGUGAUAAUCCGUGCCAGAGGAGACCUCAUUAGCACUUCCGCAAGGUCGGCUCACCUUUCCGGUCACUCCAGGAACGCUGUUGUCGAGUGAAAGUAGCAGUUCCUCCUUAAGGUCAGAGAUUGCAGCAUCUGAGGGCCUCUUCAAAAGAAGCCAUAGUUGAUGAAGGCGUUCUGGAGCAGGACCAGAAAGACCACGACCAAGCAGCCUUGAGAUCUUAGACAGCGUCUCCCUCAGGUCCCUCUCUAUCUCCCCACACAUCCACCAACCACUGGAACACAUCUCCAAAGUUCUGCUGGGCCAGCUCAGCUUCCCCUUAGAAGAAGUGCCGCCACCUACCAGAUGAAGGAGCCUUUUGAGAGGCAGCUGGCAUCGUGAUUGGACUGUACUUUGGUCUGUUCCAAUCCAGCUUCAGCUCCAGAGACGGCAGGCGGGACGAGUCAACGGAGGCCGGGUGGACGAAGGCAUGCAGCUGAGUACAAUCCAGAAAACAACUGAGGAGGAGUGCAGUGGCCCAGGGCCAGAACAAGCAGAGUAGCAUUGUAUGUCUCUUAGAAAACAUCAUAGUAUAGCCUUUGGUAUGAAAAAACACCAUCAUAUACAUCGUAUAUUUUACAAAUAACAAGUCAAAGGAAAGAGACAUACAUUGUAGAAUUGUAGUAAUUGUGGGCUGACUGAUUUACUGAUUAUCAGUAUUUUAUUUUUUACUGAUUUACGGUAAUAAAUACAUUUUAAAAUGGCGCUACUUUGGCUCUGAACCUUUAUCUACCUGUGGUCGCUCUUCUGGAGUGAUUUGAUUGGUUAUACGUCACGAAUAAAAGUCCUUUAACUUAACAUCUGUAAACAAAACAAAAACGUAUCAACAAAGUUAGAGUUUGUGUUCUGCUAAGUUUAACUCCAAGAUUUUAAAUGCUUUCAUUUACUGCAAAUGAAUAUCUACUCCAAAUGUGGCAGUAAUAAUCAUUAUCAGCCAUAAAAACCCACAAAACACCCCUCUAUACUUGAUCACACUUAGUACAGUCCGGUUCCCCCUUCUAUAAAUCUGCUUGGAAUCUUCCAUUUCCUGUUUGUCAAAGUGGCCUUCUACCUGGACAGGUUUUGUUGGAGCUCAUGCAACAAACAUUUUGGGUAACUGCACUUUAAUAUGGAUGGAUGACACUGAAUUAGAGUCUGUUUUCAUGAGACUGAGUUAAGAUGUGUAGCUCUGUCAUUAAAUAGGACAUUAUUUUUCAGAAUUCACAGAGAAAAGUCUGAAAUGUUUGCUAGGUUAGCGUCCCACAUGUUCUUUGGCUCAGCUAAAGCUAACUCUCUCCAACUUGUGGAUCUCUUGAGUUGCUUGUUGUUAAAAUAUCUUGCUUGAGGUGCUGAAGCUCAGAAAGUCUGAGAUGUUUGUUCAAACUAAGCUCAUUCUCAAGUCGUAUCUGAACUCUUUUGUUUGAACUUUCCCUAAACUUAGGAGUUAAUGACAGAGCAGCACAUCCAGACUCAGUCUCAUUUAUGUAGAGAUUAAACUUCAGUGUCAUUCAUUGAUGUUAAAGUGCAGUUUUUCAAAUGUUUGUUGCACAUGCUCCCGACCAAAGCAGUCCAGGUGGAAGACGAUGUGAAGAGAAAGCUCCAGAGGAUGAAUAUCACACAUUUACGUUGGAAAUAAAUGUCCUUUAAUUAGACAGUGUCAUGCAAAAGUUGAAUUUCCCUUUAAUGAUGUUCAAGUCUUUGUUGAAUGUUUUGUUGAUGUUGGUUUUUUAAUGUUUUCUGACACUCUGCCCCAAAGAUUAAAUGUUCUACGGCUCACAAGCUGCAACAAUUCA